GGUAUUUUGACUAUACAAAGGUAUUGAAAUAAGAUUUUAAUUGAAUGCUAAGAGAAUGGAAACCCAGAAAAAAACUUUUUUUAAAUUAAAAAUUGAAAUUUUUUUAAUUUGUGCAGAAACAAUUAUUAAUAUUAAGGACAAGAAGACCCUAUGAAUUUAUAAAAUUCUAUUCAAUAUGUUAUUGCUGUUGUAGAAUUUUUGGCUGGGGCGGCUAAAAAAUAUCUUAAACUUUUUAAAAGUAAAAUGAUCCAUUAUUAAUGAUUACAUGUGAAAUA
rnacentral:rRNA from 1 species